rnacentral:lncRNA from 1 species
GAGAGAACCUGUACAGGACGAUCUUCGGCGACGACGAGACCUUCGCGAGAUACCAGCAGCCCAGGAAGGCGGAGCCCAUCGAGAGGCCCCUCCCUUGCAGCCUCGAAGAACUCUUCAUCGGAACCACCAAGAAGAUGAAGAUCACCCGCCUGAUCCUCGACGACAGCGGGUGGGCGAUUAAUCCUUCCAUCUUCAGUACAAGAAACAGGAAAAAAAAAAAAAAAAAGAAUCCUCGCUUUCCAAGUUAUCUCGAUGAUUGAUCAUGGUUUCCGGGCCUGAGCAGGAAGACGCUGCCGGUGGGCGAGAUCCUGCGGGUGUGCAUCCAGCCCGGGUGGAAGAAGGGGAAGAGGAUCACCUUCCCGGAGAUGGGCGACGAGGCGCUGGACGUCGUCCCUGCGGAUAUCGUCUUCAUCAUCGACGAGAAGCCGCACGGAGUUUUCACGAGGGAGGAGAACGACCUCAUCGUCACGAAGAGGAUCUCCUUAAUGCAGGCGCUGGCGGGGUUCAAAGUCCACCUGAGGACGCUCGACGGAAGGGAGCUCGCUAUCGACGUCGACGACGUCGUCCACCCGGGCUACGAGAAGGUCAUCGCCGGGGAGGGCAUGCCGGUGACGGACCGUUCACAGCGGGGGAACCUGAGGAUCCGCUUCGUCACCGUGUUCCC